GACGAACGCUGGCGGCGUGCUUAACACAUGCAAGUCGAACGGUAAGGCCCUUCGGGGUACACGAGGGCGAACGGGUGAGUAACACGUGGGUGAUCUGCCCUGCACUUCGGGAUAAGCCUGGGAAACUGGGUCUAAUACCGGAUAGGACUCCUGGCUUCAUGGUUGGGGGUGGAAAGCUUUUGCGGUGUGGGAUGGGCCCGCGGCCUAUCAGCUUGUUGGUGGGGUAAUGGCCUACCAAGGCGACGACGGGUAGCCGGCCUGAGAGGGUGACCGGUCACACUGGGACUGAGAUACGGCCCAGACUCCUACGGGAGGCAGCAGUGGGGAAUAUUGCACAAUGGGCGCAAGCCUGAUGCAGUGACGCCGCGUGAGGGAUGACGGCCUUCGGGUUGUAAACCUCUUUCAGCUACGACGAAGCGCAAGUGACGGUAGUAGCAGAAGAAGGACCGGCCAACUACGUGCCAGCAGCCGCAGUAA
rnacentral:rRNA from 1 species